rnacentral:rRNA from 1 species
GGCAGGGCGAAGCCUGACCCAGCGACGCCGCGUGGGCGAUGAAGGUCUUUGGAUUGUAAAGCCCUUUUCAGGGAGACGAAGGGAUCGUCGGGAAAUACCUGAUGAUCUUUGACGGUAUCCCUGGAAUAAGCCCCGGCUAACUACGUGCCAGCAGCCGCGGUAAUACGUAGGGGGCGAGCGUUGUCCGGUAUUACUGGGUGUAAAGGGCGUGUAGGCGACCCCUUAAGUUGAAUGUGAAAUCUCCCGGCUCAACUGGGAGGAGUCAUUCAAUACUGAGGGGAUGUGAGGACAGAAGAGGGAAGUGGAAUUCCCGGUGUAGCGGUAAAAUGCGUAGAUAUCGGGAGGAACACCAGUGGCGAAGGCGGCUUCCUGGUCUGUCCCUGACGCUGAUGCGCGAAAGCCAGGGGAGCAAACGGGAUUAGAUACCCCGGUAGUCCUGGCCCUAAACGUUGGGUACUAGGUGUAGGAAAGGUUCAAUCUUUUCUGUGCCGUAGCUAACGCGUUAAGUACCCCACCUGGGGAGUACGGCCGCAAGACUGAAACUCAAAGGAAU